UACAGAGGUCCCGGGCGUUGUUCGGAUUCACUGGGCGUAAAGGGUGCGUAGGUGGUGAGGUAAGUCGGAUGUGAAAUCUCCGAGCUCAACUCGGAAAUGGCAUUGGAAACUACCUUGCUCGAGGGUUGGAGGGGGGACUGGAAUACUUGGUGUAGCAGUGAAAUGCGUAGAUAUCAAGUGGAACACCAGUGGCGAAGGCGAGUCCCUGGACAACUCCUGACACUGAGGCACGAAAGCUAGGGGAGCAAACAGG
rnacentral:rRNA from 1 species